rnacentral:lncRNA from 1 species
AAAAUUUGUAUGUGUUUGGAUAUUUUGAUAGUUAAUCAGAUCCGAGAACCUUGUUUGCGAUUUACAUACAACAUUGUUCCAUUCCAUGUGAGGAGGGGUUUUCACUAACUUUUAAAUCACUUUUUUUUUUUUUAACUUAUUUGUAUUUCAGAGUGGUCUUCUAUAUAAUACAACUCAUCGGCGGAAUAUUAGCUGCCGCGAAGUAAUUGAGAUCUCGGAUUUAUAUGUAUGCUGGUGGGAAAUAGCAGGUUCAUGUCUCCAAACUCCAAAGUCAUAUUAUUUUAGUGAUAUACUAUACAUACGUACCCAAAAUGUGAGCCACUUAUAUAGUCCGUCUUAAUUAUUCUUUAUACACACGAAAAGAGAAAAAAAAAAAACAAAUUGUGAACCACUGCAUCGACAAAUAAAUCAAUAAGGAUAUAUAUAAUUAGAUAAUGCAAAGGUCCACCAGAUCCUUCGUCUGCAACCACGACUUGUAGCUAGUAAAAGUAAAAUCACACUGGACACGAGUUUUU